rnacentral:misc_RNA from 1 species
GAUGAAGAACGCAGCGAAAUGCGAUAAGUAAUGUGAAUUGCAGAAUUCAGUGAAUCAUCGAAUCUUUGAACGCACAUUGCGCCCGCUAGUAUUCUGGCGGGCAUGCCUGUCCGAGCGUCAUUUCAACCCUCAAGCCCCCGGGCUUGGUGUUGGGGAUCGGCGAGCCUCCGCGCCCGCCGUCCCCUAAAUCUAGCGGCGGUCUCGCUGUAGCUUCCUCUGCGUAGUAGCACACCUCGCACUGGGAAACAGCGCGGCCACGCCGUUAAACCCCCAACUUCUGAACGUUUGACCUCGGAUCAGGUAGGAAUACCCGCUGAACUUAAGCAUAUCAAUAAGGGAGGA